rnacentral:lncRNA from 1 species
UCACUUCUAGCAAGUAUGCAGGAAGACCACUGAUGGCAGAAGAGAUUUAUCAUGGAAAGUAUACUCUCUGGCCAAAGUAAGGGGAGGCUUUCUCACUGACAACAGCCUUAGGAAGGCAACUGAGAUUAUAUGAACCCAGAUGCUUGCAGCCUGUUGGAUAUAACUAUCAGAGAGAGCAGGUACAGGAUCAGUGCUGGCUUUGCUAAGGUUUCCUUAUUGGGUUGCAUCUCAGUUCAGCGGGAUGGAGAGCAGUGGACUCUCUCGGCUGUGGUCCCUGCAACAACCCACAGCGCAGGUAAUGUCACUCCCCAUGGGGCAUGCAGAAGGAAAGCACGGAUCUGGCAGGGUUUCCAACAUUGAAGAGGUUCCUCUCUGAAGAUUUUAUUCUUCUUGGAAGGAGAAACUUCUCCACCUGGUAAAUUGCAAAUGCAGACCUCUGUGUUGUUUGUAGGUGUGAGCCCUUUGGUUCUGUACUUCUUGGGAUGUCCAAAGCACAUUGACUCCUCUGAGACAUGUAUCAGCUACUAUCUCAAGUUCCCACCAGGACCCUACCUCCUUGGCUUGGGGAAUGGGGUGUGUGAGUCCUGACAGGACCUCUUCUGACUCUUGGAGGUCCUAUAUUUCAAGCCUUUUUUUCCUGUACAGCAGCACAGUACAAUUUUUUAAGAACUGAAAGAAUGAUAUAUACAGGCUGACCCUGACAAGAGCUUGAGAUCUGAAUCUGUUCAGAUCUUUCAAAUGCAAACGUCCCUUCUUUCGUCUCUUUCUCUUCAGGAGCAAUGAUAUGAGCUCAUGGCUGAUCAAAUUCAGCAGCUGAAGUACCAGUGGGAUCCUGAAUUAAUUUGGUGUCCCACAAAUUAUUUGGUAUAGCCAUACAACAGUUCAAUAUUUUAGUGAGUAGAGGGAAAAAACAGCUCUCCUGAGUGUAUUGGUCCUGCUGAUGUUUUUUUGGCUUUUAGAACAGAAAAUCUAACUAAAAUAAUAAUAAUCUUAUGAACAGCCUCAUUUUUCCUGUUUAUUAUUGUUACUCAAGCACAUGGUAUGCCUGAAGGUAACCUAGCCAAGAAAGCUGUGUAGACAGCAAGCAAAAGCUACGGAGAGCCAGCACAGAGCAUCAUGAUCUAACCCAGGGAAACUCCAACUGCCGGGUUAAUUAUUGUUAUUUAGUCACAUGCCAGAAAGCAUGCUAUUAAUUGCAGCAAUAAAAUGCACUGCCUUUCAUCGUAUUUAAAAGAA